CUUUAUUUAAUUAAUUGCAAUUUCUGUCGACAGUACGGAGAGACUGGCAGAAGAUGGUACACCGUUUUCACAUACAACACCCCGGCCGAUUGCCAAUUUGUGAAUUUCACCAUAACAUCAAACAUAACCGUCGAUUUCUUUUGGAUUCGAAAAAAUUUAACUACAGGUGAAUGGAACGGUAGGUCCGAUGGCGUGGUUACGUGGACACCCGAUAACGGUACACGUAAUGGGAUUAUAAGUCUAAGAUACCCCAAUGUUCCCGACCCAUUGGUAUAUCCAAUUCUUGGAGUCGAUUAUGAUUCGUUCGUCCUGGAUUACAGAUGCCUCGAUAUAAAUAGCACAAGCAAAAUGGAAUUAAUAUGGGCCAGGAGCAGGACAACGGUUUAUACACCACAAGUAGCAGCUAAAGUAAAGCAGAUCCUUAAUAAUAACGGUCUCUCCGAUUUAGCACCGACGUAUGCCGUACAGGACCCAAAACAAUGCUUACCAUACCCUUAAAAUUUGUAUAAAAUUAAUCUGUAAUGAAUUUGUUAACAUGUGAAUAAAAUUUUUUGAAUCAA